CCUACGGGGUGCAGCAGUGAGGAAUAUUGGUCAAUGGACGAAAGUCUGAACCAGCCACGCAGCGUGAAGGAUGACUGCCCUCUGGUUUUUAAACUUCUUUUAUAUGGAAAUAAAAUGUUCCACGUGUGGGAUUUUCUAUGUACCGUAUUCAUACGGAUCGGCUACCUCCGUGCCAGCAGCCGCGGUCAUACGGAGGAGCCGAGCGUUAUCCGGAUUUAUUUGGUUUAAGUGGAGCGUAGGUGGGUUGUUAAGGACGGUGUGAAAGUUUGCGGCUGAAACGUUAAAUUGCAGUGGAUAGUGGCAGUCUUGAGUACAGGAGAGGUGGGAGGAAUUCGAGGUGUAGCGGUGAAAUGCUUAGAUAUCUGGAAGAACUCCGAUUGCGAAGGCAGCUCUCUGGACUGCAACUGACGCUGAGGCUCGAAAGUGUGGGGAUCAAACAGGAUUAGAUACCCUGGUAGUC
rnacentral:rRNA from 1 species